AGAGUUUGAUCCUGGCUCAGGAUGAACGCUGACAGAAUGCUUAACACAUGCAAGUCUACUUGAUCCUUCGGGUGAUGGUGGCGGACGGGUGAGUAACGCGUAAAGAACUUGCCCUGCAGUCUGGGACAACAUUUGGAAACGAAUGCUAAUACCAGAUAUUAUGCGAGAUUCGCAUGUUUCUCGUAUGAAAGCUAUAUGCGCUGCAGGAGAGCUUUGCGUCCUAUUAGCUUGUUGGUGAGGUAACGGCUCACCAAGGCCAUGAUAGGUAGCCGGCCUGAGAGGGUGAACGGCCACAAGGGGACUGAGACACGGCCCUUACUCCUACGGGAGGCAGCAGUGGGGAAUAUUGGACAAUGGACCAUAAGUCUGAUCCAGCAAUUCUGUGUGCACGAUGAAGUUUUUCGGAAUGUAAAGUGCUUUCAGUUGGGACGAAGUAAGUGACGGUACCAACAGAAGAAGCGACGGCUAAAUACGUGCCAGCAGCCGCGGUAAUACGUAUGUCGCAAGCGUUAUCCGGAUUUAUUGGGCGUAAAGCGCGUCUAGGCGGUUUGGUAAGUCUGAUGUGAAAAUGCGGGGCUCAACUCCGUAUUGCGUUGGAAACUGCCAAACUAGAGUACUGGAGAGGUGGGCGGAACUACAAGUGUAGAGGUGAAAUUCGUAGAUAUUUGUAGGAAUGCCGAUGGGGAAGCCAGCCCACUGGACAGAUACUGACGCUAAAGCGCGAAAGCGUGGGUAGCAAACAGGAUUAGAUACCCUGGUAGU
rnacentral:rRNA from 1 species